UAUGAUAUGCAGGCUAUAGCGUUGUGUUAGUACAUCCUGCAGGUAACAUUCCUUGUUUUACAAGUGUUCUCAUACUAAUUUUCUACGUUUUGCUACUGUCUCGUUGAUGCUGCUGCUGUCUCGUGUUCCUGUUGUCUAUUUAUUCUGAUAAUUGAUUUCUGUGGGUUUUUGUUUUGUUCAGAUGUUAUUUUGCUUAUAGCGGCUUUCAUUUCCGUUUUUUCUUUUAGCUGUUUUUUAUUUUUUUUGCUGCUCUUUUGCAGCUGUGUUUUACUGGACUUGAAGUGGGAGUUUUGUCCUACUUCUUGUCCUUGUUGCUUAGUUUCUUCUCGGUAGGGAUAUUUCUUCUUGGUUUUUCUGAGUAAAAAUAUUAUUGCUUAUGAAAAAAAAAAAAUCAUAACUACUUAGAAGACAGUGGGGAAUUUCCUUCUGUUUUCUGAUAGUGGGUAAAUAUUAUCAUAAAGAAAAAGAAAUAACAAUAGUGCAUGUGUUUUUCUUUCCUCUGAUGAACAUAUAGUAUAUUUUCUUACUAAACUCUCUAUUCUGUUCUGGUAAAAGCUAAAAUUCAUAAAAGGUAGAAAUACAAUGGAUCAUAAUUAUAUAAAUUAAUUACCCAAAUUAAAGAUGCUUAAAACAAUAAAUUGGGCAUUUUGAGAAAAAUAUAUUUUAAAUACAUAAAGAAAAUAUCAAGCUUAUACUGCUAAGUUUCCUUAGGCUAUGUGUUAGAAAACUAUAACCCAUAUUUAUCACAAGUUUAACUAUAUAUGAUUACAAAAGAAAAAAAUACAGAUGAAAACACUGGAGGUAGACAACUGGAAAGAUUUACUGUAUUAUCUUGAAAAGGCCACAUUUCUCACCAUCUCUCCAUCCAUGCAUUUUCCAUCACCGGAACAUGCGUAGUACGCAGGCUUACCUUUCACCAUUUUGUUUCUGUAGAUCCACAUGGUAAGGCCUUUCACUAAACCGCGUAUUAUGAUAAUGAAAGUUACAAGUUACACUAAACCAACUUGCAAAAUUAUCUUUAGUCAACUUGGUGUCCUGGUCACAGCCAAGUCCUAAAUCAAACACUGAUCACUGGACUAAUCGAUAAUGUGUCCUAUCGCAAUGUACAUAUAUGAAUGCGACAAAACCUUUUCUAUAAGGAAAAAAAAAAAAAAGGAAAAAACCUUUCUGAUCUUUAAGCAUAAUUGAUUUUUGAUCUUUAGCAAAAAAUAUGGCAUGCAUGCAUAUUCCUAAUAACAGCUUACUUCACCAUUUCGAAGCUGCCAUGCUUUUAGGAAACUUACGUGCUAAUUUGUUCUGUUUUCAUGCUAUUUUCAGCGAAUCAAACCUGCAACAGGCAUAGAUGUUAAAUACGCCUACUACUUGCUUUUGCUUAGCGUUCAGCUUGCAUAAAAGUGAUUUCUUGAAACAUCCCUAGCUAAUGGCCUGUUCUGGAAGCAUUUGUAUUUUGCUGGCAACUUGGGAGAGAGCCGUAACCGAGUGACAUUCUCUAGUGCAAGCAACCAAAACUUACCUAGAUUAACACUGAUGUCGUCGUCAUCACUUGAUGCUCCAGUUUUUCCUUUAAGAGUUAUUUUCAUUCUGCUUACUCCCAGGAGGAUUUUGUUAAUUGUAAUUUCAUCAAGUUAAGAAAGCAAAGUUCAUAAUGAAUUGGCUUUCUUUUUAAUUAAUUAAAGUUUUCCAUCCUCGUCUUAGCCAAACUAAUUGUAUUACUACUAGAGGUGUAAUUAUAAUACAAAAACGAUAGAAUUAAGAAAGGGCCAGUAAUAGGAUUUUGAUAAAUAUUGAUUUUAGUUGGUUAUUUCCGGUGUAAUAACACUAUCUUUGAUAAGUGACAAUUAUAGAGUAUAUAUAAAAUCAAAC
rnacentral:lncRNA from 1 species